CUCGUAGGCGGCUUGUCGCGUCGACUGUGAAAUCCCGCGGCUCAACCGCGGGUCUGCAGUCGAUACGGGCAGGCUAGAGUUCGGUAGGGGAGACUGGAAUUCCUGGUGUAGCGGUGAAAUGCGCAGAUAUCAGGAGGAACACCGAUGGCGAAGGCAGGUCUCUGGGCCGAUACUGACGCUGAGGAGCGAAAGCGUGGGGAGCGAACA
rnacentral:rRNA from 1 species